rnacentral:rRNA from 1 species
CGUACAGGUUUCCGUAGGUGACCUGCGGAAGGAUCAUUAUCGAAUUUUUGAAGGGAAGGGAAGAUAAGAUGGACAAGCGUGAAGACCCGUCGCUGGCUUAUCAGAAGCAUACGUGCACGUCUUACCUUUUCGUCGACCUUUUCCCUUACCUUUCUUGUUCACAAACCCCACACCUGUGCACCCUUCGGUAGGUCCUCGCAAGAGGAUCUAUGUAUUUCUAAAUCACGCUCGUCGUAUGUCCAGAAUGUAACACUCGAGAUGAUAAUGAUAAUAAAAACCAUACAACUUUCAGCAACGGAUCUCUUGGCUCUCGCAUCGAUGAAGAACGCAGCGAAUUGCGAUAAGUAAUGUGAAUUGCAGAUUUUCAGUGAAUCAUCGAAUCUUUGAACGCAUCUUGCGCUCCUUGGUAUUCCGAGGAGCAUGCCUGUUUGAGUGUCAUUAAAUUCUCAACCAUGAUCUUUCCUUUCCUUGAUCAUCGGCUUGGAGUUGGGGGUUGCUGGCGGCUUGCAGUCGGGUUCAGCUCUCCUGAAAGACAUUAGCGAAAAGGGGGGGACGGGGGGAGUCCCUUGGACGUGCACGGCCUUUGACGUGACAAUGAUCGUCGUGGGCCGGGAGAGCCAUCUUGAUGAGUCCCUAGAAAUCUGAUCGCUUCUAAUCCUAAUCGAUUCGGGGUGUGGUCUAGCUACUAGUGGGUCUGGGUCUUGAGGAACGAACGUCUUGGGAGCACUCACACGAGGUCGACCUAGCUUAAUAGUCUAUCGGACGAACGCUAGGAAGGCUUUCGUGGUGUUACCUGGCUACUAGCGAAUCUAAUCUGGAUCGACGAACGUUAGGACAUAUGAUACCUUACAGAAAGUUGACCUCAAAUCA